rnacentral:lncRNA from 1 species
GGUUGAUUUACUCAGUCUGAGGUUAACUGAUUACUACUUACAACAUGCCUAUAGCACAAUAUUUUUUUCUGAGUCUCCAAAGCUCAGGUGAAAUAGGAAGAUGGUUGUCUUGCCUAUUAUCGCUGAGGAAUAUCUCUGGAUUUUAGUACACUUCUGUAGUGUACAAAUUAACUAAUGAUGUUUCAAUUAUUCAUCUGUUUUUCACUCCCUCUCUAUAGUGGCAAGGAGAGAACGGCUUCAUUUGAAAUGCCUGCAGGAUGUCAGCAGGAGCUGCUGCCUCAAACAGACACAGAAUUCAUCUGCAAGAUCUGCUUAUAUACACUAUUUAAGUUUUUAUUCCUUCACACAAAUAGAUCAGAGUGCCCAGAGGAAUAUCAGACGUAUACAAACUCUCUACUUGACUAACGCAUGAGCUCCACGUACUGGGAUUCAAAGACUUCUUUCCAAUGAACACAAAAUAAACAGCGGCAUCUUAUUUUAAAUGUAAUGCUA